UGGCUCAGGAUGAACGCUAGCGGCAGGCUUAACACAUGCAAGUCGAGGGGCAGCGCGAUGUAGCAAUACAUUGGCGGCGACCGGCGCGACGGGUGCGUAACACGUAUAGGAAUCUCGCCCUGUACUAGGAAGACGUAACCCGGACGAAAGUCGGACUAAUAUCCCAUAAUAGCCGAGGUGGCAUCACCUUGGUUUGAAAGCUCCGGCGGUACAGGAUGACCAUGCGCACGAUUAGCUAGUUGGUGAGGUAACGGCUCACCAAGGCUACGAUCGUUAGGGGGCCUGAGAGGGUUAUCCCCCACACUGGUACUGAGACACGGACCAGACUCCUACGGGAGGCAGCAGUGAGGAAUAUUGCGCAAUGGAGGCAACUCUGACGCAGCCAUGCCGCGUGCAGGAAGAAGGCGCUACGCGUUGUAAACUGCUUUUAUCCGGGAAGAAACCCCAGGACGUGUCCUGGGUUGACGGUACCGGAGGAAUAAGCACCGGCUAACUUCGUG
rnacentral:rRNA from 1 species